AUUGAACGCUGGCGGCGGGCCUAAUACAUGCAAGUCGAACGAGUGGCGGACGGGUGGGUAGUGUCUGGGAAACUGCGUAAUGGAGGGGGCUGACGACUGGAACAGGUAGAUAAUACCGCUUAACGUCCGAUGUGCCCAGAGGGGAUUAGCUAGUAGGUGGGGUAAAGGCACACCUAGGCGACGAUGCCUAGCUGGUCUGAGAAGGGGACAAGCCACACUGGAACUGAGACACGGUCCAGACUCCGACGGGAGGCAGCAGUGGGGAAUAGUGCACAAUGGGCGAAAGUCUGAUCCAGCAAUGCCGCGUGUAUGAAGAAGUCCUUCGGGUUGUAAAGCACUGUCAGCGGGGAGGCGGUACCCGAAGAAGAAGCACCGGCUAACUCCGUGCCAGCAGCCGCGGUAAUAC
rnacentral:rRNA from 1 species